rnacentral:rRNA from 1 species
AUUGAACGCUGGCGGCAUGCCUUACACAUGCAAGUCGAACGGCAGCAUGGAAGAGCUUGCUCUUCUGGUGGCGAGUGGCGAACGGGUGAGUAAUACAUCGGAACGUACCUUAUCGUGGGGGAUAACGCAGCGAAAGUUGCGCUAAUACCGCAUACGCCCUGAGGGGGAAAGCGGGGGACCGUAAGGCCUCGCGCGAUUAGAGCGGCCGAUGUCUGAUUAGCUUGUUGGUGAGGUAAAAGCUCACCAAGGCGAUGAUCAGUAGCUGGUCUGAGAGGACGAUCAGCCACACUGGGACUGAGACACGGCCCAGACUCCUACGGGAGGCAGCAGUGGGGAAUUUUGGACAAUGGGGGCAACCCUGAUCCAGCAAUGCCGCGUGAGUGAAGAAGGCCUUCGGGUUGUAAAGCUCUUUUGUCAGGGAAGAAACAGCAGCUCUAACACAGUCUGCGAAUGACGGUACCUGAAGAAUAAGCACCGGCUAACUACGUGCCAGCCGCCGCCGUAA